ensembl:lncRNA
GACUAAGAGGGAAAGUGUAGGAAUCCCCCAAUUCCUCUCCUCCCAAGGUCACUGGCGAGUCCUGGAGGCAGAGGAAAACUAGACUCCUUGCGGAACGGACAGAAGGAGAACAAAGCCAGAGGUGGUGAGCAGGAGAAGGAGGGUCCGCGGCGCGUGCGGUCCGCUCCCAGUCCGCGGGGGCGCGGCGGGAAGGGGGAGCCACUGAACCUGAGCCCCGCCGCCCCCGGCCCCGCACUGGGCUCCGCAGGCGGCUGCACCGGGGCCGCGGGGUGCCGGCUCCAGCCCGCGUGGCGGCGCCUGGCUCUGUGCAAAGCACGCGGCCGCCUCCGCUAACCUCCUCCGCGGCCCAACUUGGAUGGAGUUGGGGUCCCGAGCGCCUGUGCCCCACGGCCAGCCGGCGGAGAGCCCCGCGCCGCCACCUCGGGUCCGGGACUGCCCUCCGCUCCCGGGAUGGGAAAAGUUGGCGCGGCCGGCGGCUCCCGGCCCGGCUGAGCGCGCUCCUCGCCCGCGUGGGUCUCGGUCUAUCGCGCCCCGGGCGCCCGCGGCGGCGGCUCCUGCUGUAUCCCGCGGUCCCAGGGUUGCUACCCCGUGGAUCCCAUCACCAGUCGCUGCGGGGACCGGCUCCUGCUGCUCCUUUCCUUUCUCUUCCCAGAGAAGCCUCGGGAGAGGUGAGCAGGAUCGAGCAGGAGUAGAAUCCGCUUUGGGCAGCGGGAGCCUGGAACUCUGGAGCAAAAGUAAGAAAAAGCCACAGGCUUCCGGGACGGAGGAGCUGAGGCUGACAGCGUGUGAGCAGUGACGAGGAACUUCGCACACAAACGCCGCUCCAUUGGUCUGACCACAACAGCGUUGAUGCCUGCCACAGCAUGGCGUGCCAAGCCGUGCCAUGUCCUCACCUGGGAUCCGAACCGGCGAACCCCAGGCCUCCGAAGCAGAAUGUGCGCACUUAACCGCUGCGCCACUGGGCCGGCCCCUGCAUAUUUUUUAAAGAGCUGUCUCCCUCACUGUCGGAUGAGCUGGAUUCAAGCGUUGGCUGUGCAUGUUGGAGAAUUUGCUAUUGAUGAGGCAUCUGUGCAGAAGUUUUGCAGACAGAAGAACACUCCCCCGACCCCCCGAUCCUGCCCCAACUUGAAGAGAGAACUCUGGCAUUUCCUCAAUCUGUCUGGCUUAAUUGAUUGUAAACCUUGUUUUCUUUUCUUUUUAUUCCACUUUUUUUCCUGAUUAUGGAAGCAAUACAUAUUAAUGCUAUAAAUAUCAAGCAAUGUAAAUUAUAGAAUCUAAUGUGACAGUCACCCAUGAUUAAGCCGCCACCUAUAGAUAACCACCAUUCACUAGUAUAUAGUUUUCCUUUGAUGAUUUCAAGAACAUAUUGAAGGAUUGUGUAUGUAUUUAUAAAAUAACGUUUAAAUACACAGCCAUGCACAUGCACAGAAAUCAGUCCAUACAAUGCAUAUUAUGAAACUUGCCUUUGUUCCCUGACAAUAGAUUUGUCAUUUUUUCUAUCAAUCCAUGCAGCUCUACCUCAUCCUUUUUUUUUUUUUUAAGUAACAGAUUUUAUUUUUUAGGGAAGUUUUAGAGUUACAGAAAAAUUGAGUGGAAAGAACAGAGUACCCACAUAACUGCUCUGCUCCUCACACACACACAGCCUCCCCCACAUUCAACAUCCCACAGUGUAGUGAUACACUUGUUACAAUCCAUGAAAAGACAUUGACACAGCAUUAUCCACCACUCAUUGUGUUGUGUAUUCUGUGGGUUUUGAUAAAUGUAUAAUGACAUGUACUCACUAUUAUCACAUCCUACAGAAUAGUUUCUCUGCCCUAAAGAACCUCUGUGCUCUACCUAUUUAUCCCAUCUUCCCCUGAACUCCUGGAAACCACUGAUCUUGCUAUUGUCUUCAUAAUUUUGCCCUU